rnacentral:rRNA from 1 species
UACGAAGGAUGCAAGCGUUAUCCGGAUUUAUUGGGUUUAAAGGGUGCGUAGGCGGACUUAUAAGUCAGUGGUGAAAUCUCGUUGCUUAACAACGAACGUGCCAUUGAUACUGUAGGUCUUGAGUACAGAUGCCGUUGGCGGAAUGUGUCAUGUAGCGGUGAAAUGCAUAGAUAUGACACAGAACACCGAUUGCGAAGGCAGCUGGCGAAACUGUAACUGACGCUGAGGCACGAAAGCGUGGGGAUCAAACAGG